rnacentral:rRNA from 1 species
UACGAAGGGGGCUAGCGUUGCUCGGAAUCACUGGGCGUAAAGGGUGCGUAGGCGGGUCUUUAAGUCAGGGGUGAAAUCCUGGAGCUCAACUCCAGAACUGCCUUUGAUACUGGGAAGCUCGAGUUCGGGAGAGGUGAGUGGAACUGCGAGUGUAGAGGUGAAAUUCGUAGAUAUUCGCAAGAACACCAGUGGCGAAGGCGGCUCACUGGCCCGAUACUGACGCUGAGGUGCGAAAGCGUGGGGAGCAAACAGG